rnacentral:tRNA from 1 species
GUAGGUAUAGUUUAACAAAAAUAUUAGAUUGUGAUUCUAAAGACAGGGGUUAAACCCCCCUUGCCCACC